GCAGAGUAGGAGCAGGAGCGUUAAGUGUCCUAUAAACAGGAAGUUGUUAUGGGAACGAAAAGUUUUACUUGCGAUUCCUGAUCCGCAUUCCGCUGC
rnacentral:ncRNA from 1 species